AGAUGGCGCUAAGGCCGAGAGAAAGCCAAAGUUCCGCCUACGGCUUUUUAGUGAACCGCUCGGUGUCGUCACUUCCGCUGUUCUGCCUUUUCCCCCAAGGGGCGGGGCUGCAAUGAGAGUAACAAUGGCUAUCCGCCCCUUUCAAGUGGCUGAGGACAUCGUAUUAUGACAACGUGAGCACCUAUUGCCAAUACUGGACCGAGAGGGGCCGACCCGAAAAGCAGUGACUUCCGCCUUGCUUCUCAUUGCUUCUUGGGAGUUGAAGUUUACUACCGAAUCCUCCAUUUUACUUUGGAUAGGGUCUCACUUGCCCAGGCUGGAGUGCAGUGGCAGAUUCACAGGUUGCCUCCAACUCUGAGCUCAAGCAAUCCUCCCACUUAAGCCUGCGGAGUAGCUGGGACUACAGGUGCGUAAUACCACACGCAGCCUCAAGCUGUCACCCUGGGUAGAGUACCAUGGCAUCACAGCUCACAGCAACCUCCAAUUCCUGGGCUCAAGCGAUUCUCCUGCCUCUGCCUCCGCCUACCAAGGAGCUGGGACUAUAGGUGCCUGCCAGGUAUAUGUGGCUGGCACCUUAGCCGCUUCAGCCACAGGCACCAAGCCUACAUUUAGUUUCUUAAAAUGAAUUUACCUACAGUUCAUAUUUUUUUCCUGUUUACAGCAAUCUUUUUUUUUUUUUUUCAAAGUCAUAUACACAUAGAUCAUGAAUACAUUUAUACACAUGUGGGGUACAAUGUAUUGAUUUUUUAAUACAAUUUGACAUGCUUACAUCAAAAUAAUUAAUAUAGUUUUCCCCUCAUGGCAGCUUUAUUUUUUUUGAGACACACUCUCACUAUGUCACCCUCAGUAGAGUGCUAUGACGACACGGCUCACAGCAACUUCAUUGAGCUCAAGCGAUUCUCUUGCCUCAGCCUCCCAAGUAGCUGGUACUACAGGUGCCCACCACAUGCUCAACUAUUUUUAGAGAUGGGGUCUUGCUCUGGCUCAAGCUGGUCUGGAAUUCCUGAGCUCAGGGGAUCCACCCACCUCAGACUUCCAGAGUGCUAGGAUUACAGGCGUGAGCCACCGCGCCUGGCCUAGGUUGGCAGCUUUAUACAUAUUAGCUAUAGUGCCUAAUACAUCCUUGGUUCUAUCAAGCUUUGGAGUUG